rnacentral:rRNA from 1 species
AAUGAACGCUGGCGGCAUGCCUAAUACAUGCAAGUCGAGCGAACCGACGAGGUGCUUGCUCCCCUGACAUUAUCGGCGGUCGGAUCCUUCACACAUGGUCAAACUAACUCUCCGACUGGGAUACUUAUGGCGAACCAUAUCUACUAACGGAUAAUAUAUUGCACCUGAUUGUUCCCUAGUGAAAGAAGGUUUUUCUUUCACUUAAAGCUGGCUCAGCAGCGCAUUAGUUAGUUGGUAAGGUAACGGCUUACCAAGACGACGAUGCUUAGCCGACCUGAGCGGGUGAUCGGCCACACGGGAACUGAGACACAGUCCAGACACCUACGCUGAGCAGCAGUAGGGAAUCUUCCGCAAGGGGCGAAAGCCGGACGGAGCAACGCCGCGUGAGGGAUGAAGGUCUUCUGAUCGGAGAACGCUGUUAGUAGGGAAGAACAAAAGUGCAAUUAACUAGGCUCGUCAUGACGGUACCGAAACAAAAAGCCACGGCUAACUACGUG